rnacentral:rRNA from 1 species
AUUGAACGCUGGCGGCAGGCCUAACACAUGCAAGUCGAGCGGAUCGGCGGACGGGUGAGUAAUGCCUAGGAAUCUGCCUGGUAGUGGGGGAUAACGUCCGGAAACGGGCGCUAAUACCGCAUACUAUCAGAUUAGGCUAGGUCGGAUUAGCUUGUUGGGGGGGUAAAGGCCUAACAAGGCGACGAUCCGUAACUGGUCUGAGAGGAUGAUCAGUCAAACUGGAAAUUAGACACGGUCCAGAAUCCUUCGGGAGGCAGCAGUGGGGAAUAUUGGACAAUGGGCGAAAGCCUGAUCCAGCCAUGCCGCGGGUGUGAAGAAGGUCUUCGGAUUGUAAAGCACUUUAAGUUGGGAGGCGUUACCAACAGAAAGAGCACCGGCUAACUUCGUGCCAGCAGCCGCGGUAAUUC